rnacentral:rRNA from 1 species
UACGUAGGGUGCGAGCGUUAAUCGGAAUUACUGGGCGUAAAGCGUGCGCAGGCGGUUGUGCAAGACAGAUGUGAAAUCCCCGGGCUCAACCUGGGAACUGCAUUUGUGACUGCACGGCUCGAGUGCGGCAGAGGGGGAUGGAAUUCCGCGUGUAGCAGUGAAAUGCGUAGAUAUCUGGAGGAACACCGGUGGCGAAGGCGGCGACCUGGUCCAAUACUGACACUCAUACACGAAAGCGUGGGGAUCAAACAGG